GGGUUGUGAGGUUAAGCGACUAAGCGUACACGGUGGAUGCCCUGGCAGUCAGAGGCGAUGAAGGACGUGCUAAUCUGCGAUAAGCGUCGGUAAGGUGAUAUGAACCGUUAUAACCGGCGAUUUCCGAAUGGGGAAACCCAGUGUGAUUCGUCACACUAUCAUUAACUGAAUCCAUAGGUUAAUGAGGCGAACCGGGGGAACUGAAACAUCUAAGUACCCCGAGGAAAAGAAAUCAACCGAGAUUCCCCCAGUAGCGGCGAGCGAACGGGGAGCAGCCCAGAGCCUGAAUCAGUGUGUGUGUUAGUGGAAGCGUCUGGAAAGGCGCGCGAUACAGGGUGACAGCCCCGUACACAAAAAUGCACAUGCUGUGAGCUCGAUGAGUAGGGCGGGACACGUGGUAUCCUGUCUGAAUAUGGGGGACCAUCCUCCAAGGCUAAAUACUCCUGACUGACCGAUAGUGAACCAGUACCGUGAGGGAAAGGCGAAAAGAACCCCGGCGAGGGGAGUGAAAAAGAACCUGAAACCGUGUACGUACAAGCAGUGGGAGCACGCUUAGGCGUGUGACUGCGUACCUUUUGUAUAAUGGGUCAGCGACUUAUAUUCUGUAGCAAGGUUAACCGAAUAGGGGAGCCGAAGGGAAACCGAGUCUUAACUGGGCGUUAAGUUGCAGGGUAUAGACCCGAAACCCGGUGAUCUAGCCAUGGGCAGGUUGAAGGUUGGGUAACACUAACUGGAGGACCGAACCGACUAAUGUUGAAAAAUUAGCGGAUGACUUGUGGCUGGGGGUGAAAGGCCAAUCAAACCGGGAGAUAGCUGGUUCUCCCCGAAAGCUAUUUAGGUAGCGCCUCGUGAAUUCAUCUCCGGGGGUAGAGCACUGUUUCGGCAAGGGGGUCAUCCCGACUUACCAACCCGAUGCAAACUGCGAAUACCGGAGAAUGUUAUCACGGGAGACACACGGCGGGUGCUAACGUCCGUCGUGAAGAGGGAAACAACCCAGACCGCCAGCUAAGGUCCCAAAGUCAUGGUUAAGUGGGAAACGAUGUGGGAAGGCCCAGACAGCCAGGAUGUUGGCUUAGAAGCAGCCAUCAUUUAAAGAAAGCGUAAUAGCUCACUGGUCGAGUCGGCCUGCGCGGAAGAUGUAACGGGGCUAAACCAUGCACCGAAGCUGCGGCAGCGACGCUUAUGUGUUGUUGGGUAGGGGAGCGUUCUGUAAGCCUGCGAAGGUGUGCUGUGAGGCAUGCUGGAGGUAUCAGAAGUGCGAAUGCUGACAUAAGUAACGAUAAAGCGGGUGAAAAGCCCGCUCGCCGGAAGACCAAGGGUUCCUGUCCAACGUUAAUCGGGGCAGGGUGAGUCGACCCCUAAGGCGAGGCCGAAAGGCGUAGUCGAUGGGAAACAGGUUAAUAUUCCUGUACUUGGUGUUACUGCGAAGGGGGGACGGAGAAGGCUAUGUUGGCCGGGCGACGGUUGUCCCGGUUUAAGCGUGUAGGCUGGUUUUCCAGGCAAAUCCGGAAAACUAAGGCUGAGGCGUGAUGACGAGGCACUACGGUGCUGAAGCAACAAAUGCCCUGCUUCCAGGAAAAGCCUCUAAGCAUCAGGUAACAUCAAAUCGUACCCCAAACCGACACAGGUGGUCAGGUAGAGAAUACCAAGGCGCUUGAGAGAACUCGGGUGAAGGAACUAGGCAAAAUGGUGCCGUAACUUCGGGAGAAGGCACGCUGAUAUGUAGGUGAAGUCCCUCGCGGAUGGAGCUGAAAUCAGUCGAAGAUACCAGCUGGCUGCAACUGUUUAUUAAAAACACAGCACUGUGCAAACACGAAAGUGGACGUAUACGGUGUGACGCCUGCCCGGUGCCGGAAGGUUAAUUGAUGGGGUCAGCGCAAGCGAAGCUCUUGAUCGAAGCCCCGGUAAACGGCGGCCGUAACUAUAACGGUCCUAAGGUAGCGAAAUUCCUUGUCGGGUAAGUUCCGACCUGCACGAAUGGCGUAAUGAUGGCCAGGCUGUCUCCACCCGAGACUCAGUGAAAUUGAACUCGCUGUGAAGAUGCAGUGUACCCGCGGCAAGACGGAAAGACCCCGUGAACCUUUACUAUAGCUUGACACUGAACAUUGAGCCUUGAUGUGUAGGAUAGGUGGGAGGCUUUGAAGUGUGGACGCCAGUCUGCAUGGAGCCGACCUUGAAAUACCACCCUUUAAUGUUUGAUGUUCUAACGUUGACCCGUGAUCCGGGUUGCGGACAGUGUCUGGUGGGUAGUUUGACUGGGGCGGUCUCCUCCUAAAGAGUAACGGAGGAGCACGAAGGUUGGCUAAUCCUGGUCGGACAUCAGGAGGUUAGUGCAAUGGCAUAAGCCAGCUUGACUGCGAGCGUGACGGCGCGAGCAGGUGCGAAAGCAGGUCAUAGUGAUCCGGUGGUUCUGAAUGGAAGGGCCAUCGCUCAACGGAUAAAAGGUACUCCGGGGAUAACAGGCUGAUACCGCCCAAGAGUUCAUAUCGACGGCGGUGUUUGGCACCUCGAUGUCGGCUCAUCACAUCCUGGGGCUGAAGUAGGUCCCAAGGGUAUGGCUGUUCGCCAUUUAAAGUGGUACGCGAGCUGGGUUUAGAACGUCGUGAGACAGUUCGGUCCCUAUCUGCCGUGGGCGCUGGAGAACUGAGGGGGGCUGCUCCUAGUACGAGAGGACCGGAGUGGACGCAUCACUGGUGUUCGGGUUGUCAUGCCAAUGGCACUGCCCGGUAGCUAAAUGCGGAAGAGAUAAGUGCUGAAAGCAUCUAAGCACGAAACUUGCCCCGAGAUGAGUUCUCCCUGACUCCUUGAGAGUCCUGAAGGAACGUUGAAGACGACGACGUUGAUAGGCCGGGUGUGUAAGCGCAGCGAUGCGUUGAGCUAACCGGUACUAAUGAACCGUGAGGCUUAACCUUACAACGCCGAAGGUGUUU
rnacentral:rRNA from 1 species